rnacentral:lncRNA from 1 species
AGCGACUUCACGUUCACUUUCACUUUCUUUUCAUCUUCUUUAAUGGCCUGUUGCUAUCACAGCAGCAUUGCUGACAGUCCCCAUUCUCCAUUUGUUUAUGGCAUCUUUGGCUGUCCCUGACCUAUUGCAUGAGAAAAAAACCUAGGAAAAUUGUGAAAUCUCUAGCGGCUUUUGUUCUGUUUGGGACAUACCUGUGUUUUGAGCAGAGGUACAGAGUUUACAGUUUCAUUAUCUUUGUCUUGGGGUUGAUGCCAGCAGAGAUCCGCAGCAUGCCUGGAAUAGAAACCUGCAAGAUCCCACAAGCUCUGCAAAUCUCAUUGGGUUGGAGGGGACUUGUGGGCCCUGGCAGCUUUGAAAAAUAUGUUACAACUUGUGACUUUCCCUUUCAUCUUGUGCUCAGAGAUUCAUUUGUUCAAAUCUUAGAGAACUGUUUGAAGUAAUUUAUUCUUUCAGCCACUGGUUCUGAGAACCCACCACACACUUGGGGUGGGCACUGAAGCUCACAAAGGUGAGUAAGACAGAUUGCCCCUGCUGGCCUGGAGGCUGCCAUCUGGAGGGAGAGCCAGCUGUAAUACACUAAUUCUCACCGCAAGUGAGAUAAGGAACAAGCUCUGGGGCCCACCCACUCCCACGAUUAUGAUGCCACAGAGAAGAGCAGUGCAGCCAGGGUGGAAGAGAUUCUUGAAGUCAUCUGGCCCAGUGUCUUCUUCAUCUCCCAUGCCACCAGGGUGGCAGAGAUUGGCACAUGUUCCUGGCAGCCGAGCUUGUGAAUACCCAAGGCCACACAGCGGCAAAGUCGGGGGACCAGCUCCUUGGGCUGAUGCCCAGCUGCUCAUCUGGGAAGUUCUGCUGGGUUCUCACUUGUCGUCAGCAUACCCAGACUUUUCACCUUCAGGACUCUCAGAACCAGCUUCUCUUGGGAUCAUUGAAGAUGCCUGAUAAUGAAUGCAAAAUGAUGACUCAUGUCAUAUUUAAGCAAGACUCUGGGUGUGUGUGUGAAUGGAAAUCACUCACGAUCAGGCUUCCCGCCUGCAGAAGGGGAAAAUGUCUUCCGGCCCUGACGGUACCCUGGCCCCAGGCAGGAACUCAGCCCAUGCGUGCCCACUUCCAGUGAUUCUGCAGAAAAUAAAGGAUCUUCGCAGACAUCCGCCUCCGUGGUUCUGACAGCUGAAGCUCUCUUCACAGGCACAUUAACAUGACCUCAUUAGUUUGUGCAUCUACUCUCCUAACCACAUAAAACGGAGUGCGGUAGGAGCCAAUCAUGCUAAUUACAUCAGAUCGGUUUGCAUAUUCAUAAACCAUUUUCUGUUUUAUGGACAGCAAAAAUAAACACAGUAUCUCUUUAAUAAUUUUAAGUGGGUCACUUUCAGGACUG